CGGUGUUUAACUGGCGUGAUGUGGGACGUCCUACCGGUGGGCUUAGCCUCGCGAGGGGCGGCCCAACUAAUAUCCCGUCGCGGUGCUCUUUACUGAGUGUCGAGUCGGGCCGGUACGUUUACUUUGAACAAAUUAGAGUGCUUAAAGCAGGCUAUCCUCGCCUGAAUACUGCGUGCAUGGAAUAAUGGAAUAGGACCUCGGUUCUAUUUUGUUGGUUUUCGGAACCCCGAGGUAAUGAUUAAUAGGGACAGAUGGGGGCAUUCGUAUUGCGACGUUAGAGGUGAAAUUCUUGGAUCGUCGCAAGACGGACAGAAGCGAAAGCAUUUGCCAAAAAUGUUUUCAUUAAUCAAGAACGAAAGUUAGAGGUUCGAAGGCGAUCAGAUGCCGCCCUAGUUCUAACCAUAAACGAUGCCAGCUAGCGAUCCGCCGAAGUUCCUCCGAUGACUCGGCGGGCAGCUUCCGGGAAACCAAAGCUUUUGGGUUCCGGGGGAAGUAUGGUUGCAAAGCUGAAACUUAAAGGAAUUGACGGAAGGGCACCACCAGGAGUGGAGCCUGCGGCUUAAUUUGACUCAACACGGGAAACCUCACCAGGCCCAGACACCGGAAGGAUUGACAGAUUGAUAGCUCUUUCUUGAUUCGGUGGGUGGUGGUGCAUGGCCGUUCUUAGUUGGUGGAGCGAUUUGUCUGGUUAAUUCCGAUAACGAACGAGACUCUAGCCUGCUAAAUAGGCGUACCUUAUGGUAUCGCGAAGGCCCCCGGCUUCGGCCGGUGGGUUUUUACUACCAACGUACAAACAAAUCUUCUUAGAGGGACAGGCGG
rnacentral:rRNA from 1 species